AACGUAGGAGACAAACGUUUAUCCGGAAUUAUUGGGCGUAAAGAGCUCGUAGGCGGUUUGUCGCGUCUGCCGUGAAAGUCCGGGGCUCAACUCCGGAUCUGCGGUGGGUACGGGCAGACUAGAGUGAUGUAGGGGAGACUGGAAUUCCUGGUGUAGCGGUGAAAUGCGCAGAUAUCAGGAGGAACACCGAUGGCGAAGGCAGGUCUCUGGGCAUUAACUGACGCUGAGGAGCGAAAGCAUGGGGAGCGAACAGG
rnacentral:rRNA from 1 species